AUACCAGCUCUUCAAGUGGUCGGGAUAAUUAUUGGGCUUAAAGUGUCCGUAGCCGGUUUAGUAAGUUCCUGGUAAAAUCGGGUAGCUUAACUAUCUAUAUGCUAGGAAUACUGCUAUACUAGAGGGCGGGAGAGGUCUGAGGUACUACAGGGGUAGGGGUGAAAUCUUAUAAUCCUUGUAGGACCACCAGUGGCGAAGGCGUCAGACUGGAACGCGACUGACGGUGAGGGACGAAAGCCAGGGGAGCGAACCGGAUUAGAUACCCGAGUAGUCC
rnacentral:rRNA from 1 species